CCUGGAAGGGCUUCCAGCUAAGGGGAGGAAUGACUGUCCUCCCGUUCAGGAAAGUCCAGCACGUUUCUCAAGGGCUGAACUGCAAUCUCCUUGCAUGCUGGACCUGGACCUCUUUGAACUUCUCCAUGAGAGAUGCGUCCCUCCAGCCCAGCAGCCCUCAACACAGGCCCCAGCUCGGCGGCUCACCUGCUCUCUCUCUGCUGUUUUGCGGAGCUUGUACACAAACUCGCCCACGGCCACCAGCACAGACAGGACCAGCCCGGCAGCCAAGACGAUGAA